rnacentral:lncRNA from 1 species
UAAUUUUAAAUAUCUUGGAUCUAUGAUACAAGGGAAUGGUGAGAUUGGCGAGGAUGUCUCUAAACGUAUUGGAGUAGGUUGUAUGAAGUGGAGGCUCGCCCCGGGAGUGUUGUGUGAUAAGAAGGUACCCCUUAGUCUUAAAGACAAAUUCUACAGAGUGGCAAUCCGUCCAGCCAGGUUGUAUGGAGCGGAGUGUUGG